rnacentral:rRNA from 1 species
CUGGCUCAGGAUGAACGCUGGCGGCGUGCCUAAUACAUGCAAGUCGAACGCACAGCGAAAGGUGCUUGCACCUUUCAAGUGAGUGGCGAACGGGUGAGUAACACGUGGACAACCUGCCUCAAGGCUGGGGAUAACAUUUGGAAACAGAUGCUAAUACCGAAUAAAACUCAGUGUCGCAUGACACAAAGUUAAAAGGCGCUUUGGCGUCACCUAGAGAUGGAUCCGCGGUGCAUUAGUUAGUUGGUGGGGUAAAGGCCUACCAAGACAAUGAUGCAUAGCCGAGUUGAGAGACUGAUCGGCCACAUUGGGACUGAGACACGGCCCAAACUCCUACGGGAGGCUGCAGUAGGGAAUCUUCCACAAUGGGCGAAAGCCUGAUGGAGCAACGCCGCGUGUGUGAUGAAGGCUUUCGGGUCGUAAAGCACUGUUGUAUGGGAAGAACAGCUAGAAUAGGGAAUGAUUUUAGUUUGACGGUACCAUACCAGAAAGGGACGGCUAAAUACGUGCCAGCAGCCGCGGUAAUACGUAUGUCCCGAGCGUUAUCCGGAUUUAUUGGGCAUAAAGCGAGCGCAGACGGUUGAUUAAGUCUGAUGUGAAAGCCCGGAGCUCAACUCCGGAAUGGCAUUGGAAACUGGUUAACUUGAGUGCAGUAAAGGUAAGUGGAACUCCAUGUGUAGCGGUGGA